rnacentral:rRNA from 1 species
GUCGAGCGGUAAGGCCUCUUCGGAGGUACACGAGCGGCGGACGGCUGAGUAACACGUAGGAACGUACCCCAAACUGAGGGAUAAGCACCAGAAAUGGUGUCUAAUACCGCAUGUGCUCUUCGGAGUAAAGCUACGGCGGUUUGGGAACGGCCUGCGCAUGAUUAGCUUGUUGGUGAGGUAAAAGCUCACCAAGGCGACGAUCAUUAGCUGGUCUGGGAGGAUGAUCAGCCAGACUGGGACUGAGAACGGCCCAGACUCCUACGGGAGGCAGCAGUAGGGAAUUUUCCACAAUGGGCGAAAGCCUGAUGGAGCAACGCCGCGUGCAGGACGAAGGCCUUCGGGUUGUAAACUGCUUUUAUCUGUGACGAAUAUGACGGUAGCAGAUGAAUAAGGAUCGGCUAACUCCGUGCCAGCAGCCGCGGUCAUACGGAGGAUCCAAGCGUUAUCCGGAAUUACUGGGCGUAAAGAGUUGCGUAGGUGGCAGUGUAAGUUGGUAGUGAAAGCCUGGGGCUCAACCCCUUACCCAUUACCAAAAUUGCACAGCUAGAGGAUGAGAGAGGUUAUUGGAAUUCCUAGUGUAGGAGUGAAAUCCGUAGAUAUUAGGAGGAACACCGAUGGCGUAGGCAGAUAACUGGCUCAUUCCUGACACUAAGGCACGAAAGCGUGGGUAGCAAACGGGAUUAGAUACCCCGGUAGUCCACGCUGUAAACGAUGGAUGCUAGCUGUAUUCGGUAUCGACCCCGGAUGUAGCGAAGCUAACGCGUUAAGCAUCCCGCCUGUGAGUACGGUCGCAGACUAAAACAUAA